GAUGAACGCUAGCUACAGGCUUAACACAUGCAAGUCGAGGGGAAACGAUAGAGAAAGCUUGCUUUUUCUAGGCGUCGACCGGCGCACGGGUGAGUAACGCGUAUCCAACCUGCCCACCACUUGGGGAUAACCUUGCGAAAGUAAGACUAAUACCCAAUGACGUCCAUAGAAGACAUCUGAAAUGGAUCAAAGAUUUAUCGGUGAUGGAUGGGGAUGCGUCUGACUAGCUUGUUGGCGGGGUAACGGCCCACCAAGGCGACGAUCAGUAGGGGUUCUGAGAGGAAGGUCCCCCACAUUGGAACUGAGACACGGUCCAAACUCCUACGGGAGGCAGCAGUGAGGAAUAUUGGUCAAUGGGCGAGAGCCUGAACCAGCCAAGUAGCGUGCAGGAUGACGGCCCUAUGGGUUGUAAACUGCUUUUAUAAGGGAAUAAAGUGAGUCUCGUGAGACUUUUUGCAUGUACCUUAUGAAUAAGGACCGGCUAAUUCCGUGCCAGCCGCCGCAGUAA
rnacentral:rRNA from 1 species